rnacentral:rRNA from 1 species
UACAGAGGUCUCAAGCGUUGUUCGGAUUCAUUGGGCGUAAAGGGUGUGUAGGUGGCGCGCUAAGUCGGGUGUGAAAUUUCGGAGCUUAACUCCGAAACUGCAUUCGAUACUGGCGUGCUUGAGGACUGGAGAGGAGACUGGAAUUCAUGGUGUAGCAGUGAAAUGCGUAGAGAUCAUGAGGAAGACCAGUGGCGAAGGCGAGUCUCUGGACAGUUCCUGACACUGAGACACGAAGGCCAGGGGAGCAAACGGG